rnacentral:rRNA from 1 species
AACGAAGUAGCAAUACUUAGUGGCAGACGGGUGAGUAACAUGUAGGUAUCUGCCCUUUGGCCUGGAAUAACACGAGGAAACUUGUGCUAAUACCGGAUAAGUCUUUACGGAGAAAGCUUUAUGCACCAUUGGAUGAGCCUGCACUUGAUUAGUUUGUUGGUGGGGUAAUGGCCUACCAAGACUGUGAUCAAUAGCUGAUUUGAGAGGAUGAUCAGCCACAUUGGGACUGAGACACGGCCCAAACUCCUACGGGAGGCAGCAGUGGGGAAUCUUGCACAAUGGAGGAAACUCUGAUGCAGCGAUGCCGCGUGAGUGAAGAAGGCCCUUGGGUUGUAAAGCUCUUUCGUCGGGGAAGAAAAUGACUGUACCUGAAUAAGAAGGUCCGGCUAACUUCGUGCCAGCAGCCGCGGUAAUACGAAGGGACCUAGCGUAGUUCGGAAUUACUGGGCUUAAAGAGUUCGUAGGUGGUUGAAAAAGUUAGUGGUGAAAUCCCAGAGCUUAACUCUGGAACUGCCAUUAAAACUUUUCAGCUAGAGUAUGAUAGAGGAAAGCAGAAUUUCUAGUGUAGAGGUGAAAUUCGUAGAUAUUAGAAAGAAUACCAAUUGCGAAGGCAGCUUUCCGGAUCAUUACUGACACUGAGGAACGAAAGCAUGGGUAGCGAAGAGGAUUAGAUACCCUCGUAGUCCAUGCCGUAAACGAUGUGUGUUAGACGUUGGAAAUUUAUUUUCAGUGUCGCAGGGAAACCGAUAAACACACCGCCUGGGGAGUACGACCGCAAGGUUAAAACUCAAAUGAAUUGACGGGGACCCGCACAAGUAGCGGAGCAUGUGGUUUAAUUCGAAGAUACGCGCAGAACCUUACCAACACUUGACAUGUUCGUCGCGACUUUAAGAGAUUAAAGUUUUCGGUUCGGCCGGACGAAACACAGUGCUGCAUGGCUGUCGUCAGCUCG